AUCACUGCAGCACUGUGGCUGUGGACCUGCUAAGUGACUCCUGGGAUUUUGGACUGUGGAUGACUCCAGUUAACCAGAACAGUGGGAAAUGAAACUAUGAGUAAGGAACAUGGUACCUCCAGGAUUCUUUUCUGCUGGUGUGACAAAAUACCAUAAGCAAGGUUCAGAGCUUGACUGACGUUCUGACCGAAUCUAUGUGAAAGGUUGGAUGAGGCGAGAUGACCUGGAAUCAGUGCAAUCCACAAAGCUGUUUUGGGCAGCAACUGGAAGCAGGGGGCCAAGCAGCAGAAUGACUGUACCUAUGGCCAUAACGAUGGAUGUUGUCACCGUUUUCCAAGAAUGUCUCAGCAACCACUCCAGCACACACUCCCUGGGCAUCUGUAGCUGACUGAAUGUGGAGUAUCUUGACCAUGAGGCAGAAACUCUGCAUGUUGUUUAGAUGGAAUGAAUUUACUACACCAUGGUGUCCCUUAUCUUGGCGGAGCAUACUCUAGUGUCCCAGGUCAGUACCAGAAACUGUAGACAGAAUUGAGCCUGGCAUGGACUGUCCUUGUUUCUAUACAUACAUGACUAUGGUAAAGUUAAACUUACAAGUUAGGCCCAGUAAGAGAUUAAUAGCUAUCAUUAAUAAUAAAAUAGGACGAUUUUUACAAUAUGCUCUAAUGAUAUUUGUGAGACUGGGCAGUAUCUCUCUCUUGAGACAAAUAUUAAUAUUUUGACUGCUUUAUAACUGAAGCUACAUACUAUGUGUGUGGACUACUGCUAUGGCCUUCUAAGUAAGUUUAAGACUGUUGGUGGAGUCAAAGGGACCCCUAGGUAAACCAACAAGAAAGUGAUUAUUAAGAAACGGCGUUUAUCCCAAGGACUGGAAGAAAAGGAAAUGAGGCUGGAGUAGGCAAAACUGG
rnacentral:sRNA from 1 species